AUUGGCUGUUCUCACCCAGCAUCACGUCUCCUUGAUUACAUGCUAUGGCCAUCCCCAUUGCUCUGUGUCACCUAACUCAUGUACUGUGGUCCCUUGAGCAAAAAUAAUCCCAUGAAUAGGCUUAGCUUUCACCCAAGGCAGGAUUGACUUGGACUGCCUUGAACAGUGUCUUUAUGUGCACCACUGGGACUUCAUCCCCUCUGACAGUAUGCAGGAGGCUUGAUAGGACGAGACCAGCUCACCUGGCAGAUCCCCCAAGUGUUGACUAACCACGUAGCUUUUGCUAAAUGUCCCAGUGUUUGAAUGUCCCUGCACCUAUGGCUUUCAGUGUAGUCUUAACUGCCUCUGUGCUACUUGGUUUUUCCAAAGGUUGUGCAUGAGAGGGGAUGGAGUACAGGCACUUUAUGUCAUGCUGUUUAGCCUAGGUGGUUAGGUUGUUUCAGAAAUGAGUCCCAUUGUCUGACUCAAUUCUUUCUGGGGUACUGUGCUGCAUCAGUACUUGUUUUCCAAUGCCCAGGGGUAGUAUUUUGGGUGGAUUCUGUUGUCCUCUGUACCAAAGAGACUUUAUCUGCUUGGCUUGUUGAACUACAGCAUGUGUUUCACAGUCGUAGACCACUUGUGCAUUAGUGUUCCAUCACUCAGUCCAUCUAGUCCAACUCCUCUUUGCUGAACUGGAACAUCUACAGAGCCCCAUACAGCCUGACCUUGAGUGUCUCUAGGGAGGGGGCCUCCACCACCUCCCUGGGCAGCUUGUACCAGCACUUCACUCCCCUUACUAACUUGCCUCUGCAUACCUUCUUUGGCAGCAGUGAACUUUACAAAGAAGCUCUGUUUUUUUCUUUUUUUACAUUAAUUUGGUGUGGUCUGCAGGAUCCCAAGGAAAGAGAUGCUGGAAGGGGGCAGGAAUGGAUCUGCUGGAGGGAAUUCCAGGUCUGCUUGGGGUAGUCCUGGCCUGGAGAACAAAGAAUGGUGCAGGGAAGGCAUUGGGCUGCCUCACCAAGUGAAAACUUAUCAGCACAUGAAUGGUAGCAGCACAUCCAUGGAUAUGUAUAUUCCAAUUGGUACUUACAGGGAGAGUGGAGAAUGCAGAGACAAGGGUGGAUGCCCCAUUCCUGGAGGUGCUCAAGGCCAGGCUGGGUCAGGCCCUGGGCAGCCUGACCUGUUGGAGGGCAACCAGUCCACUGCAGAGGAUGGGGCUGUGAGGUCUCAUCCAACCUCAGCCACUGUGAUUCUGUGAUAAGACCCAGCUAGAUAUUCUGCAGAGCCAGAAACAUGCCUGGUGCCUUCCAUGCGCUACGUUUGUUAUGCACCUUCCUCAGAAAGUUCCUGACCUAAAACACAUGGAAAAAGAUGGAAGUGUUUUUGCUGGCUUCAGUUCAUCUGAGAUGAGCCAAAAGUCUUGAAUGGAGAAUACUUUAGUGGAAAUGAGAUACUGUUUUCAGUCGACCUUUUAUCAACCUAAAGAUCCAUGCCUCAAAAGAUUUAUUCAGGGACUUCCUUGUUUACUGGCAUUAUUCAUGUCAGUGACAAGUGCCUUUCCAUAUCUGAUCUGUAGGAAAAAUCUCCCUUUUCCCCCCUCAAUUGUAUGUAGUCCAAAGCUAACUGCAUCUUAGUACUGAGAUUGCUUUCUCCUUGAAUCAAAAUAUUUUGGUUCAGCCUGUGUAUUUUCACAGAUCUUAGCUAAAUCACAAACAAUUUCAUUUCUGUAGCAUCACCAGGCUGACAGAUGUUUCACACGAGGAGCUUUUCAGAAUCUUUCUCUCCACCACUACAGUCUGAGCAAGUACCUGAACGCUUCCUAAGAUGAUAUGCAACAGCUAUAGGAGCUGUAGGAGCAGCUGUAGCUGAGGAUGCAGUAGAUAUUUGGAUACCUGUACCUUAUUUCCAUGUGCAGUCACAAGGAAAGAAGUGGAAAGCUAUGUGCAGUAUAUGUCUCUUUUUCCAAAGUCUGUUCCCGUAUAUUUUUCUGCAUAACUGAGAUUAGAAGACAGUGAGAGCUGCUUUACACAAAUUCUUUCCAUUCUUUGCUUUUGCUGUCCCUGAAUUUUGCAGGAAUGAGGACUUAAAUUAAAAGAGCAGGUGUCCCACGAGUAACUAUUGCUGCUGCCUGUCCCUCCAUUAUGCAUUGUUGUGUUUAUAGCAGUUAGAGAAGCAGCUUUGACAGUGAUUAGAGGUAGCAGCAAUUCUGCUCACCAAUGCCAACUGCUCAUGCAGGGAUCCAGGAGGAAAGCUGUCAUUGUGCCAUCAAAGGAUAAAAAAAAAAUUGCAACAAACAGUGGCACAAAAAGACUGUUUUAGAGAAAAAAUAUCUUCAAAAUCUUAAAUAAGUACAACCCAUAAGAGAAAGGGUUGAAUCUAAUGGGUGCCUUCAAUGAGCAUCACACCAGUUGAGGGCACGAAGAUACGUGAGCAAAGUGACAAAAAUGAAGCUCUGAGUAGCAUAAGCCUUUAGUAAGGGCUGCAUCUCUUUGGAAGGAAGAAGGACCUCUCUUGUUGAUGCAGCAAAGAGGCAGAAAGUCAUUCUGCCAACACUGGUGCUGACAAGCCCAGCAGAUGAUUGUCAUCAGGCCAAUCAGAUGGGAGUUUCUACUGAAUGUCGAAUGCAGCUAAAGAUCUGAUUUGCCUUGCCUGCAGUCAGUCGGAGCAAACACCUACCCAGGCACUCAGCACCUGGGUAACUCCGCAAAGACAAGGAAAAGUCAGAAAUGGGCAACACCUUGCAGGGGAGGUUGUAAAUGGAAUGUAAUGGUCCAGAGAGAGGGGAAACCUCAUGCACAUGAAGGGUUAUGCCCACUUCUCCUGAAGGCGAUGUCUUGUUGGCCAUGUCAACAAGAAGGCAGUGGGCAUAGGUCUGUGCCAGCAGAAUUGCUUUUACAAUUCUUUCUCCCAAGUUCUACUCUGUUUCCAUGAGCAAAUAAACGGAUUGUUUAAUCUCC
ensembl:lncRNA